UGGGGAAUAUUGCGCAAUGGGCGAAAGCCUGACGCAGCCACGCCGCGUGAGUGAUGAAGGCCCUCGGGUUGUAAAGCUCUGUCGGGAGGGAAGAAGUUCUGACGGUACCUCCCAAGAAAGCACCGGCUAACUCCGUGCCAGCAGCCGCGGUAAUACGGAGGGUGCAAGCGUUGCUCGGAAUCACUGGGCGUAAAGCGGACGCAGGCGGAUCAGCAGGUCGGGUGUGAAAGCCCGGGGCUCAACCCCGGAACGGCACUCGAAACCGCUGGCCUGGAAUACGGGAGAGGGAAGCGGAAUUCCUGGUGUAGAGGUGAAAUUCGUAGAUAUCAGGAGGAACACCGGUGGCGAAAGCGGCUUCCUGGCCCGAUAUUGACGCUGAGGUCCGAAAGCGUGGGUAGCAAACAGGAUUAGAUACCCCCGUAGUCC
rnacentral:rRNA from 1 species